rnacentral:lncRNA from 1 species
GUUAACACGCGUACGCCUGUUUUUCAGUUGGUACGUUUUAACAAUGUGUAUCGGAUUAUAGUAGACAAAAAUACCCUCAUUUAUCAUGGAUUCUAAAUUUUAAGGUCAAGGAUAUUUAAAUAAUUUUCAUUCUCAAAACUAAAAAAAAAAAAAAGAAACCCCCAAACCCUUACUCACCUCCCUCAUUCCUCUCAACCCUUUCUCUUUUAUCUCUCCACUCCAACAUUUUCUCUGUCAUCU